AUCAAUCUCUGGCUGCUCAAAAGUGUGUUGUGCUAACAUUAUUCCGUUAGCUAGUGGUUUGUUAGCUAUAAGAAAUCCAUAAUUAACCUGACAGCUUCAUGUUACAAAUCUAACUUCAACAUGCCUUAACAUUACAGAUGUUAGCAUUGUAUCUUCUGGGUUCAAAUGGUAACAACCACUCCUGCUGAUGAGUCCAGUCUCUCCCAUCAUCCCAGGUCUCACUGCACAAGGAGAACCUGAACCUGAGAUCCUGUGAGCGAUCAAAUGGAUGCUGUUGAUGGAGACCUGACUUCACCACCACCUUGGCUGUCCUCUUCACAUUUUACUAUAUGUCCACCAUUGAAUAUCAGGAUGAAACAACAACAUUGCAGGAGCCUGUUCAAAAGGAGCUGUCAUUCAGUUUGCUGAAAUACAUGAAGAAGCAGUGGAGGAUCAAAGUAAAAACUAGGGGAGGAUCAAAGUGAAAUCACUGAAGUGGGCUUUUGGACUCUUUACAGACAAGUUGUUUUUUCUCAAAGGUGAACACAGGAUGUGAUUUACAGAGCAGGUGAGAUUAUUUUACUACACUGCUGAGUGUUCAUGGUGCAUCACACCGAGUCGUCACCGUCAGUCUAUGGCUGCAUGUCAGGAUAAUAACCAAUCCCCUCGUGGAGAAGGCACGCUCUGUUUUUCCAGCUUUCCACUCACCUCUCUUCUCUGUCUGCCUUCCUGCUCCAGCAAAUGUCAUUUUGCCUGCAUAGGGGUAAACAGGCAAGAGGGCCAUGUGUUGCAAACUGCAGUAAAAACCCCACUUGAGACGCAUAUUCCGAAUGCACUGUAUACAAGUCCAAAUAAUGCUCCUAAAACCUGUAUAACAUCGGCAUAUCCUGUGUCUUAAUCAGAAAAUUCAGAAUAUUGUCAUAGUUGGAAAAGUGGAAUAUUAGUGUGCAUGUUAACGUAAUCAUUGAAAGCAAAAGUUGAGAGGAAGAAA